AAUGAACGUUGGCGGCGUGGAUUAGGCAUGCAAGUCGAGCGAGAACCCCGCAAGGGGGGACAGCGGCGAAAGGGACAGUAAUGUGUAGAUUCUCUGCCCUCAGGUCCGGGAUAGCUGCGGGAAACUGCAGGUAAUACCGGAUAACAUCUCCGGAUCAAAGGUGUGAUUCCGCCUGAGGAUGAGUCUGCAUCCUAUUAGCUAGUUGGUGGGGUAAUGGCCUACCAAGGCAUUGAUGGGUAGCAGGUGUGAGAGCACGACCUGCGUCAUUGGGACUGAGACACUGCCCAGACACAUACGGGGGGCUGCAGUCGAGAAUCGUCGGCAAUGGGCGCAAGCCUGAACGGGCGACGCCGCGUGUGGGAUGAAGGCCUUCGGGUUGUAAACCACUGUCAGAGGGGAUGAAAUGCAGGUGGGUUCUCCCAUCUGUUUGACAUAGCCUGAGAGGAAGGACGGGCUAAGUUCGUG
rnacentral:rRNA from 1 species